ACCAGCUCCGCGGGUCAGCUCUCUACCCUUUGCCCCAGGGGAGAAGCAAUUUUAGAAAGAAGUGCUCUUCAGAUUCCUUUGGCAUGGAGGUUUGAAAAGGGAGAAACAAACCCAACUAAUGCUGAAUAUUCAGUAGCAGCAUUACUCAGAAGACUUCUGAUACACACUGUCGAAGGACUGAGUUGUCACUUUCAGGGGAAUUCCAGAUGCAGAGUCCCCACGUGUUCUGAGUCACAGCGCACAGGCAUCUGAGGCAGAGCAAAGCACGAUCUUGGCCUGAGGGCUCCUGCAGUGACUCUGAGGAGGGAUUCAGAAAUGAAAACCCAACUUCCACACUUGAUGUUCUUAAUAAAGGAAGAGAUUGAAAGCCACUGGGAUCCUUCCAACUCCGAGAGCAGCGCCACAGCCGCACAGCUCACCCCCGGGAAGGGUCAGGCCCAGAUGGAGCUGAGCAGGAGGCGCCCGCACGGACUCCACUUGGGAUGCAGAGAACUUUACCCGUGGAGGUGCUUCUCUCUGGAAGCGUGUAACAAAUCUCCGCACUGUCAUACCGACCUUUGUUAUCUCAGCCCCAUCCAGUCCCUCCGGACCAGCCCACGGGUGGCACUGACCGUUUGCUGAGCAUGCUUUGCCCUUCCACCCGCUUGGCUUCUGCUCUCUCUAUUCCCCCUCCAACCACACCUUCUACCACAUCUUCAUCCCUUGAGACUCUCUUUCCCCUUUGAGACCCAUCCUCCAUGGUAUUCCUUCUCCAAAACCUUUCCUAGAAUCCUCAAUUGAUUUAUUUCUCUUUCCUUUGAAUGCCUUUUCUAUGAACCUACCGCAUUGUGUUUUGUAUCAUUAUUUGAGGCCCUGUCUUUACUCUUGGAUGCUAUCAGCCUCUUCAUUCAUUUGCUCAGCAAGCCUUUUCAGAGGGUGUGCUGUACGUAGCCACCCUCUUCUAGGUGCUGAAGAUGCUGUGAUAAACGCCUUCCUUGCCCACACGGAGCUCACAGUCCAUGGAGGAAGGAGGGCAGACAGCAGAUAGAUUAAAAGAGGUCAUACAGUGCUAGCAGCUAUGAAGGCAAGGCUCUCCCUAGACAGGGAGACCAAGGAGCCAAUGUAGGAAAUAAUGAUGAGCUCUCAGUGAGCCAUCAUUUCUAUGCACUGAUUUGUCUAAUCAGCACAACAGCACUAUGAACUCAGCCCCACUGAGUCCCAGUCCAGAGAAGAGAGUGGGGAUGACUCACUCCAUAGACAGGUAAACUCCAGGGUGGUUAGCAAUCUCGCCUAAGGUGAAACAGCUGGUCAAUAGCACAUGCAUUCCUAAGCCCAGUCCCCUCCCUUUCCUCUUGUCAUGGCCACAUAGCGCCUGAGCAGGACCUGGGGCAUGGCAAGCCCUUGAUGAACUAUGUGGGUCACACACCUGAGGAUUCUUCCUCUAGAAUGACUCAUGCACCUGUCCCCUGCUCCUUGUCCCAUCCUCCCCGCCCUAGGUCAAGCCUGUGCCACCUUGAUCAGGACGUCUGUUCUGUUUUUCUCAGCUUUAGUCUUCCUGGUUUCCUGCAGCUGGGAAACUGCCCAGGCCUUGGAGGGAUUUGGCUCUGAUGAUGGGAUGAAACUCCUGGGGUGCCCCUCACCCCACCCUACCCUGGAGCCGACUCCACAGAACCCUAGCUGUGAGAGAGCCUGGUCAGUAGUGAGUGAGUGGGGCUGGUAGAGCAGCCUGGGGGUGGCACGGAAGGCCCAGCCAGCUCUCAGGUGCAGGCAGAAGGCUGGAGGGCCUGUCCCAGCCUGAGGGGUCCCUGGGCUCCUGGGAAGCCUGCUGCCCAGCUGGGUGAAAUCAGGCACUGCUCUGUCCUUCGGACUGUCUGACUGCCUCCUUGGACCUGGUGCCAUCUGACCCCACCUGUCCUACCUCUCAUUUUCAUCCUGUCCCAGCUCACCUGGAUGUCUUGAGUCUUCUUGGUUUCUGCCAUGUGGUAACAUGGAUGGAUAAUCCUGUGGAGCAGACAAGGACUGAGGUCCCUCAUGGGCCAGUGAUCCCCCAUCCAAGCCUCAGUUUUCUUAUCUGUGAAAUAGGCUAAUAAUAGAGUUGCUCUAAGGAUUCAACUGAAUAACUCUGCCUCUAAGGAACUAGCUGAGUGCUCAGCCUUUAGUGGGUGCUUGGUGAGUGCUAAUUCUUUUGCUGUAGGAGUCCACUUGGCUGGUUGCUGCAUGAGCCCUUAAACCAGUCCUCCUGCAUAUGCUCUAACCACAGCCAGCCUUCCUCCAAGCCCUUCUCUGGCCCCUGAGCACUUGUAGACGAUAAAAUCCAAAUAUUGCCACCGAAGUUUCCGUGCUGUGCCUGGGGUCUGACUUGGGCUUUCACUUCUACUACAUCAGUUCUCUUUCCCACCACGCUGGCCUUACUGCUCCUCUUAGAAAUGGUUUGUGCCUUGGUGCCUUUGCUCACUUCUGUUGUCCCUCCUGCAGCGGCCUUGUACCAUUUCCUCCUGAUGGGCUCUCACCCAUCCUCAGCAGACAUACUCGAGGGGUCUGCCUUGCUCCCAACAAUCCACCUUUAUCCCAGCAAUGCAGUUGGCGCCCAGCCCCGGGGCUCCUUCUGCAGCGGGAGCAGGACUGACCUAGGUGGGCCAACGGAUUUGCUCUCCCAGGGGUUUGGCAUGGGGCUGAGUCAGUCCUCUGUGUGGUGUACCUGAGCCUGGACACGACUGCUGUGUCCAGGACAGUCCCUUCCUGCCAUGGGCAGGGGAGGCAGUGCAAACAGCGAGACAGAGGCAAACCCACCCAGCAUGGCCUCUCCUUGGUCCCAAAGCACCCUUUCCCUCCAGCGCUCUCAGGGCCCAUGCCACUCACAUGAAUGCACCUCCCAACCCUGCUCCCUGUGAAGCCAUAUAGUUUGGUAUUAGUUUUCCUUUUAGCACAAGCUUGGCUCAGUUGGAAGUCAGUUGUUGAAUAAAGGGGUGAAAGGAUGAAUGGAUGCUGGGGAGAAAAGUUCUAACACCAGAUCAGGGAUCAUGGGGAGAAUGUGUUAGAAUGCAGAUUCCCCAGCCCCACCCUGAUGUAGUAGGUCCAGGUGGGGCCUGAGAAUCUGCUUUGUAACAAGCCCUACAAAUGCUCUAAUACAAGGGGUCUGAGGACGGCAGAGAUGGGCUAGCUAUGGACUCCCAGGUCUGGGCAUGACAUCCGUUCUUGUAGAGCUUUGCUGCAGCUUGCGCACGAGGCACCAGGCCUGUGCCCAGACCCUUACCCAUGUUACCUCACCCAAGGCACAUUCCUGUGCGGAGGCUGUCCUCUGCUCGGGCAGUGCGGAGUCACAGGCAGGCUCGGUCCCUGGCUGAGCUUCCCGUGAGGUGUCUGUAGGAAUGCUCGGGCUGUGCUCUCCUCUUCCCUUGUUUGGAGAAAUCUCCACCUCCUCAGUCUCCUCCCCUCCCUCCAUGGGGCAUGUUCGAGGGCCCCCCAGUCGAAUGCCCCUACUUGGAGGUUGGCUUAGGGGUGGCAGGCCUGAGAAGCAGGAUCUGCAUGUGCCCUCCUGGUCAGGAUGGCAGCAGAGACGUGGGCUCCCAGGGGCAGCCAUGCAGACACUCUAAUGAGUACGGCGCCCCACGUCCCUGGUAUGAACUACAGGGGUCUGUGCCCAGUAGGAGUGGCACCAGCCUUUGCUCUGCACAUUCUGGGUGGUGCUCUCCGAGGCAGAGCUGGUCAUCCAUUACUGUGCAAGCAGCCACCCCCAUACCUAGAGGCCGAAUGGCAAGAUUUGUUUUGCUUAUGACUACAGUUUGGGCAUGGGCAGGGUUUGACAGGCACAGUCAUUUCUGUUCCACGCAGCAUACGCUAAAGUGAGUUGAAGGCGGGGGGCCUGGGACUGUUGCAAGCUUGCUCACCCACACGGCUUGCGGUUGAUGCUGGCUCUUGGCUGGGGCUGUGGCCAGGACACCUACACGUGGUCUUCCCACGCGGCUGCUUGGCUCUCUCACAACAUGGUGGCAGGGUUCCAAGGGUGAGCGGAGAGAGAGUGUGAGCAUGCACGCGCCAGGCAGUUCUGUCACCUAGCUUCAGAAGCCAUGCAGCUACUGAGGCCCACGUUCAGGGACAGAAUUAGACUCACCUUUGAUGGGACAAGUGUCCAAGAAUUUUCAGACAGAAUUUAAAGCUGGCAGAGCUGGCCUGUCUUUUCCCCCAUCUUUCCCAGAGCUCCU